UACGUAGGCAGCAAGCGUUGUUCGGAGUUACUGGGCGUAAAGGGUGCGUAGGCGGUCCUAUAAGUAUGGUGUGAAAUCUCCCGGCUUAACUGGAAGGGUGCGCCGGAAACUGGGGUGCUGGAGCGCGGGAGAGGAAAGCGGAAUUCCUGGUGUAGCGGUGGAAUGCGCAGAUAUCAGGAGGAACACCGGUGGCGAAGGCGGGUCUCUGGGCCGUUACUGACGCUGAGGAGCGAAAGCGUGGGGAGCGAACAGG
rnacentral:rRNA from 1 species